CUACGGGACGCAGCAGUCGCGAAAACUCCGCAAUGCACGAAAGUGUGACGGGGCUACCCCGAGUGCCGUCCGCUGAGGAUGGCUUUUCCUCGGUGUAACUAGCUGGGGGAAUAAGGAGAGGGCAAGACUGGUGUCAGCCGCCGCGGUAAUACCAGCUCUCCGAGUUGUAGGGACGAUUAUUGGGCUUAAAGCGUCCGUAGCUGGCUUAGCAAGUCUCCUGUUAAAUUCAGCGACCUAAUCGUUGAGCCGCGGGAGAUACUACCAAGCUAGGAGGCGGGAGAGGUCGACGGUACUUUCGGGGUAGGGGUGAAAUCCUAUAAUCCCGGGAGGACCACCAGUGGCGAAGGCUGUCGACUAGAACGCGCUCGACAGUGAGGGACGAAAGCUGGGGGAGCGAACCGGAUUAGAUACCCUCGUAGUC
rnacentral:rRNA from 1 species